ACGGGAGGCAGCAGUGGGGAAUAUUGGACAAUGGGGGAAACCCUGAUCCAGCGACGCCGCGUGAGUGAAGAAGUAUUUCGGUAUGUAAAGCUCUAGCAGCAGGGAAGAUGAUGACGGUACCUGACUAAGAAGCCCCGGCUAACUACGUGCCAGCAGCCGCGGUAAUACGUAGGGGGCAAGCGUUAUCCGGAUUUACUGGGUGUAAAGGGAGCGUAGGCGGUCAGACAAGUCAGAUGUGAAAGCCCGGGGCUUAACUCCGGGACUGCAUUUGAAACUGUAUGUCUAGAUUACUGGAGAGGCCAGCGGAAUUCCUAGUGUAGCGGUGUAAUGCGUAGAUAUUAGGAAGAACACCGGUGGCGAAGGCGGCUUGCUGGACAGAGACUGACGCUGAGGCUCGAAAGCGUGGGGCGCAAACAGGAUUAGAUACCCUGGUA
rnacentral:rRNA from 1 species